rnacentral:rRNA from 1 species
UACGUAGGUGGCAAGCGUUGUCCGGAUUUACUGGGCGUAAAGAGCGCGCAGGCGGUCGUUCAAGUCGCGUGUGAAAGCCCCCGGCUCAACUGGGGAGGGUCACGCGAUACUGAUCGACUCGAAGGCAGGAGAGGGUAGUGGGAUUCCCGGUGUAGUGGUGAAAUGCGUAGAUAUCGGGAGGAACACCAGUGGCGAAGGCGACUACCUGGCCUGUUCUUGACGCUGAGGCGCGAAAGCUAGGGGAGCAAACGGG